CAGCCCGGAAAUCCAAUGGGGUGUUCUUGGGGUGCAGAGGAUUUGUGACAGUCCAUACACAGAAAAAGGAAAAGGUGGCUUUGAAGACCCCGCAGGCAGGCGAGAUUUCGGAACAGCCAGGACCUCCUCCGCAUGGGGGAACCGCUCUAGACGCUCAGAGGGGCGGAGUUGAAACGGACCUGACUGGCCAGUGUCUCAAAGACGUGGAUGGUGACCAGCUCUCUCCAGAACAGAUGGCGCUCCAGCUUUGUGGGAGAAACUUUCAACAGUAGGGACUGUGACAUAUCACUGGGCCUAUAACCUAGGUAAUGUGACUCUCCUUUUCUUCCUGUGUUCUGUCCCAGUGAAGAUUAUGACAAAUUUCUGGGCCAGUCAGGUGGUUUGGUGACUCUCAAACCAUGAUUCAGCAGACCUGUGAGGCUGUGAGUUCCCUAUCAGAACACAAUCUGCAGGAAGCGUUGGAACCUAUCACUUAGCCUAGCAUCUAGGUGAUGUGAUUCUCCUCUCUUGCCUGGUUCCUGCCCACUGGAGAGAUUGUGACCCAUUGCUGAGCCCAGGGCCAAGGUGAUGUCACUCUCCUGCCUUGGCUGUGCCCAUGGGGGCCACUGUGACACCUGUCUAGGCUAAUAACUUAAGUGAAGCGAGUCUCCUUUCCUGCCUAAGCUCUGCCUACAGGGGGGAUUUUGAUAUAUCACUGGGCCCAACAGCCAGGUUGUAUUGUGCCAUAUAUCUGUGUCCAAAUUAUAAGCACAAUGAUGAAUCUUUUACUGGGAGUCAAGAUAUGUGCAGGAUGGUGAAACUUAUCACUGGACCUUUCCACAGUGUUAUUGUCACAUAUACCUUUGUCCAACAUGUGAGUGAUUUGACUCUGCAGACUGGGUCCAGUUCACAAACAAAAUUGUGCCAUAUACCUGGGCCAAGAACCUAAUAGGUAUGACUCAUGUGCCUGGGCCCUGCCUUCAGAAAGAUAGUGACAUUACACUGCACCCAGCACCUAAGAGGUGUGAUUCUCUUCUUCUACAUGGGGCCUGCCCACAGCAAGACUUGUGACAUAUCGAUGGAGUCUUGCUCUGUUGCCCAGGCUGGAAUGCAAUGAUGCAAUCUCAGCUCACUGCAA
rnacentral:lncRNA from 1 species